UACGGGGGGGGCAAGCGUUGUUCGGAAUUACUGGGCGUAAAGGGCUCGUAGGCGGCCAACUAAGUCAGACGUGAAAUCCCUCGGCUUAACCGGGGAACUGCGUCUGAUACUGGAUGGCUUGAAUCCGGGAGAGGGAUGCGGAAUUCCAGGUGUAGCGGUGAAAUGCGUAGAUAUCGGAAGGAACAUCGGUGGCGAAGGCGACUUUCUGGACAGCUACUGACACUGAGGCACGAAAGCAUGGGGAGCAAACAGG
rnacentral:rRNA from 1 species